rnacentral:rRNA from 1 species
UACGGGGGGAGCAAGCGUUGUUCGGAUUUAUUGGGCGUAAAGAGCUCGUAGGCGGCCGUUCGCGUCGGAUGUGAAAGCUCAGGGCUCAACUCUGAGAUGCCAUUCGAUACGGGACGGCUAGAGGUAGGUAGGGGAGAGUGGAAUUCCUGGUGUAGCGGUGAAAUGCGCAGAUAUCAGGAGGAACACCGGUGGCGAAGGCGGCUCUCUGGGCCUUACCUGACGCUGAGGAGCGAAAGCUGGGGGAGCGAACAGG